UGUUUUUUAUUGUCUAAACCAGGGGUUCCCAAACUUUUUCAGCAUGAGACCCAAAACAUAAAUGUUGUGGUCCUAAGGGACCCA